UACGGGGGGGGCAAGCGUUGUUCGGAAUUACUGGGCGUAAAGGGCCAGUAGGCGGCCAACUAAGUCCGACGUGAAAUCCCAAGGCUUAACCUUGGAACUGCGUCGGAUACUGGAUGGCUUGAAUUCGGGAGAGGGAUGCAGAAUUCCAGGUGUAGCGGUGAAAUGCGUAGAUAUCUGGAGGAAUACCGGUGGCGAAGGCGGCAUCCUGGACCGACAUUGACGCUGAACGGCGAAAGCCAGGGGAGCAAACGGG
rnacentral:rRNA from 1 species